AGAUGUGAGUGAUCUGGCUGUGAUAUCUGUUACACUGUUGAUUGCUAAUCAACUGAUCUGACUGGGUAGAUCACCAGUCACCAUCCCAUGUGCAUAUUUCCUGAAGCUGCAAGCUUGAAGAGGACAGCAUUCUCAGAUAGUGGAGGGCCUUUCUUUAGUCACCGAUAUAUGCACACCUGUACUCCCUUGCUAGAGCAUCUAAAGGAGCUGUCAAAAUCAAAAGCAUUUUGGUUAUUCAAAUAUAGUAACAUAAGAAGAUAAAUUCAGGAAGAAAAAAAUGAAAUACAUGUUGUUGU
rfam:Mesocricetus auratus contig158175, whole genome shotgun sequence.